UGAGAACAAUGGAUGAAGCACAUGGUGAGAACAAUGGAUGGCGGCCAUUUUAACUCAGACACUGUUUGGACUUUUCAACACGGUGCCAUCUCGCCGGUAUUUGGUGCACAGAGACAUCGUGCAGUGGUUUUGGACUAUACAACAGGGGACACAUUAUACAGUAAUUGUUUUUCAUUUAGCCUGCAUAUGUUCUGUGGAAUCUGCA